rnacentral:rRNA from 1 species
CCUACGGGAGGCAGCAGUGAGGAAUAUUGGUCAAUGGACGAGAGUCUGAACCAGCCAAGUAGCGUGAAGGAUGACUGCCCUAUGGGUUGUAAACUUCUUUUAUAAAGGAAUAAAACGAGGCACGCGUGCCUUUUUGUAUGUACUUUAUGAAUAAGGAUCGGCUAACUCCGUGCCAGCAGCCGCGGUAAUACGGAGGAUCCGAGCGUUAUCCGGAUUUAUUGGGUUUAAAGGGAGCGUAGGUGGGUUGUUAAGUCAGUUGUGAAAGUUUGCGGCUCAACCGUAAAAUUGCAGUUGAUACUGGCAGUCUUGAGUACAGUUGAGGUAGGCGGAAUUCGUGGUGUAGCGGUGAAAUGCUUAGAUAUCACGAAGAACUCCGAUUGCGAAGGCAGCUUACUAAACUGUGACUGACAUUGAUGCUCGAAAGUGUGGGUAUCAAACAGGAUUAGAUACCCUUGUAGUC